rnacentral:snRNA from 1 species
UGAUGUGAGAGAGACCUAGCUAUGACAUCUGUCACUCUUUUGACUGUCAAUGAUUAGUUGCAGCUCAUCUGGCUGGCUGAACAGGUUGUUCUCUUCCUCCGUUAUAUUCCAAGUGCAUUGUCGCUGAAGUGCAUGCCCAUAGGAAGGAUGCAACUUCCUACUAGAGGACAAUUCUUUGGUUAAGAGAGUAUAAGUAACUGCCCUCCCUCAUCAGAAAGUUCCAACAUGCUCUGGAAGUUUAUUUGGUAGGGACUGCUGUCUCAAAGAGAUAAAUACACAAUCAAGCUCUCUCUGAAGCAAUGGAAGUGU